CCUACGGGGGGCAGCAGUGAGGAAUAUUGGUCAAUGGACGAGAGUCUGAACCAGCCAAGUAGCGUGAAGGAUGACUGCCCUAUGGGUUGUAAACUUCUUUUAUAUGGGAAUAAAAUGUUCCACGUGUGGGAUUUUGUAUGUACCAUAUGACUAAGGAUCGGCUAACUCCGUGCCAGCAGCCGCGGUAAUACGGAGGAUCCGAGCGUUAUCCGGAUUUAUUGGGUUUAAAGGGAGCGUAGGUGGAUUGUUAAGUCAGUUGUGAAAGUUUGCGGCUCAACCGUAACAUUGCAGUUGAAACUGGCAGUCUUGAGUACAGUAGAGGUGGGCGGAAUUCGUGGUGUAGCGGUGAAAUGCUUAGAUAUCACGAAGAACUCCGAUUGCGAAGGCAGUUCACUGGACUGCAACUGACACUGAGGCUCGAAAGUGUGGGUAUCAAACAGGAUUAGAUACCCUUGUAGUC
rnacentral:rRNA from 1 species